UGGGGAAUAUUGCACAAUGGAGGGAACUCUGAUGCAGCGACGCCGCGUGAACGAAGAAGGCUUUCGAGUCGUAAAUUUCUUUUAUAUGGGAAGAUAAUGACGGUACCAUAAGAAAAAGCCCCGGCUAACUACGUGCCAGCAGCCGCGGUAAUACGUAGGGGGCUAGCGUUGUCCGGAAUCACUGGGCGUAAAGGGUUCGCAGGCGGAAAUGCAAGUCAGGUGUAAAAGGCAGUAGCUUAACUACUGUAAGCAUUUGAAACUGCAUAUCUUGAGAAGAGUAGAGGUAAGUGGAAUUUUUAGUGUAGCGGUGAAAUGCGUAGAUAUUAAAAAGAAUACCGGUGGCGAAGGCGACUUACUGGGCUCAUUCUGACGCUGAGGAACGAAAGCGUGGGUAGCAAACAGG
rnacentral:rRNA from 2 species